GGACUCAAAUCUUACAGGGUGGUUGUUAAUGCAGUAUUUUCCUUUUUCCAGAACCUCCCUUAUGCAGCGCAGAAUCCGGCCCACUAGAUACAAGUGAUCACCACCACCACCACCAUUACCACCAUCGCGAUCACCACCACAGAGACCACCACCACAAUCAUCACCACAAGAAGAAGAAGCAUAAAGAGAGAGACAGAGAAAGAUCACACCACAAAAAGCACAGAUACAGAGAAAAGGAGAGAGUAGAGGAUACUUACAUCAGAUGGAGAACAGAAAAUGGCAGCAGUGGCAGUGGCACUCCAGAGCAUGACCCUGUUGAGGAGAGAAGUUAUACCCCACC
rnacentral:lncRNA from 1 species